GUUGAAAUGGCCGAGUUGGUCUAAGGCGCCAGAUUAAGGUUUUGGUCCGAAAGGGCGUGGGUUCAAAUCCCAUUUUUUGUU
rfam:Solanum lycopersicum cultivar Heinz 1706 chromosome 7, whole genome shotgun sequence.